rnacentral:rRNA from 1 species
UACGUAGGGGGCGAGCGUUGUCCGGAAUCAUUGGGCGUAAAGAGCGUGUAGGCGGUUCGGUAAGUCUGCCGUGAAAACCUGGGGCUCAACCCUGGGCGUGCGGUGGAAACUGUCGAGCUAGAGGAUGGUAGAGGGGAGUGGAAUUCCCGGUGUAGCGGUGAAAUGCGCAGAUAUCAGGAAGAACACCAAUGGCGAAAGCAGCUCUCUGGGACGGUACUGACGCUGAGACGCGAAAGCGUGGGGAGCGAACAGG